AAAUGGUUUGUUAUACUGGAUGUGGUGAAAACCUGACAAACACUAUACAAAGAGAUAUUCUGCUGACACAAACACGAAUCCUUCCUGUUCAUGACCUUUGUCCUCAGGAUUUCUGAACAGUCUCCUUGAUGUAAACAACACACUGAGCUUUAAUCACUCAAUCAAAUCAAAGAAUCAAUAACUAAUGGUGCACACACUGUAAGCAAGCGCACCCUUUGCCCUUUGGAUCAAAUGAGUAGUACGUCAAGCCUGGGAAGUGGGAGUGCAGAUGGAAUCACUGACCAAUGAAUGAAGCUCUGAGCAGGAUUGAGCUUUACACUGCAGACACAGUCAGUGCUAAACUAUUAAAACGUGGACUUGGACUUGAACUAAAGAUGAGUAAAGUGUGGAACACUCUACAACGAUUAAAAUCUCCAAGAACAAAUAGGAUACCUUUAGUUGAUUAUUACAGCAAUGUCAGAGAAGAAGUAAACCAGGCAGAUAACAGGUACAACAACCCCUCAACCCAGAACACCUUCAACACCCACUGUCAGAGUGAAGUUCCUCCUGAUGCCUCUGAGGAUGAGUCUUGUUUCUCAGUGCGGCCUGAGACCAGUUCAGGACAGCAGAACCUGGAACACCUCAUGCAAAGAUCUGUGUCCUUCCCAAAGCCACCAGCAGAUCUUAACCAGAACCUUCAGCAGCACCUGGUAAAUGUGCAGGAAGCUGUGCGCAAUGACCUGGUGAAGCUGGGUCCCACGGGGCAAAUGGGACAUCUGAUUGAUUGCUACCAUCAUCAGACAUUUGAUCACCUCAGUGAUCUUCUCCAGAGCGUCCACUCCUUCCAGAAUACCCUUGCGCUGAUGAAGUGGGUCCUACAUACAUAUCUGAGUUCAGAGCUUCUCCAUCAUCCUGAACUUCUAGAAAUGGAUCCUGUAAAAACCGUUGACCUUCUGCUGUACACAGAAUGGGUGGAAAAAGCAAAGAACAAACUGCUUGACAAUGCGCAGAAAGAGGUCAGACGGUCCCUGGAGGAAAUCUUGCAGACAGAGAGAAGACAAGAACGUUGUGAUUGUGAGGAAGCUUACAUUGGAUUUUAUGUGGACAUUAUUCAGGUACUUAAUAAACCAGAAAUUAUAAGAGUUUCUGUUGUUACUCUGAGAGCCAAGGGGAAAGAAAAUGUUUGUGUGCAUGUAUUUGUCCAUUUAUAUCUUUUG
rnacentral:lncRNA from 1 species